GGACGAACGCCUGGCGGCGUGCCUAAUACAUGCAAGUCGAACGGUCUUUCUAUGGAAGCUUGCUUCCACUGAGAAGAUAGUGGCGAACGGGUGAGUAACACGUGGGUAACCUGCCCAUAAGAGGGGGAUAACAUCCGGAAACGGGUGCUAAUACCGCAUAGUUUUCUUGAUCGCAUGAUCGGGAAAGGAAAGACGGCCUUUGUGCUGUCGCUUAUGGAUGGACCCGCGGCGUAUUAGUUAGUUGGUGAGGUAACGGCUCACCAAGACGAUGAUACGUAGCCGACCUGAGAGGGUGAUCGGCCACAUUGGGACUGAGACACGGCCCAAACUCCUACGGGAGGCAGCAGUAGGGAAUCUUCCGCAAUGGACGAAAGUCUGACGGAGCAACGCCGCGUGAGUGAAGAAAAGGUUUUCGGAUCGUAAAACUCUGUUGUCAGAGAAGAACAAGUUGGAGAGUAACUGCUCCAGCCUUGACGGUAUCUGACCAGAAAGCCACGGCUAACUACGUGCCAGCCGCUGC
rnacentral:rRNA from 1 species